rnacentral:rRNA from 1 species
AAUUUUGGACAAGGGGCGCAAGCCUGAUCCAGCCAUGCCGUGAGAGUUAAGAAGGCANNNGGGUUNUCAAGCAAUUUCGUACGNAACNAAAGCGCGCAGGCUCAUACCCUGAGCGGAUGACGGUACCGUCAUAAGAAGCACUGGCUAACAACGUAACAUCAGCCGCGGUAAUACGUAGGGUGCGAGCGUCUACCGGAAUUACUGGGCGUAAAGCGUGCGCAGGCGGUUGAUUAAGACAUGCGUGAAAUCCCCGGGCUUAACCUGGGAACUGCGCUUGUGACUGGUCAGCGAGAGUACGGCAGAGGGGGGUGGAAUUCCACGUGUAGCAGUGAAAUGCGUAGAGAUGUGGAGGAACACCGAUGGCGAAGGCAGCCCCCUGGGCCGAUACUGACGCUCAUGCACGAAAGCGUGGGUAGCAAACAGG